rnacentral:rRNA from 1 species
UACGAAGGGAGCUAGCGUUGUUCGGAAUCACUGGGCGUAAAGCGCACGUAGGCGGAUGUGUCAGUCAGGGGUGAAAUCCCGGAGCUCAACUUCGGAACUGCCUCUGAUACAGCACGUCUUGAGUCCGAGAGAGGUGGGUGGAAUUCCUAGUGUAGAGGUGAAAUUCGUAGAUAUUAGGAAGAACACCGGUGGCGAAGGCGGCCCACUGGCUCGGUACUGACGCUGAGGUGCGAAAGCGUGGGGAGCAAACAGG